AUGAAAGAUUACAAGCCCGUCUCUUUGGUUCACAGCACACCCAAGCUAGCUUCUAAGGUUUUGACCAAUAGAUUGCAGCGACAUAUUCCGGUCUUAAUACACUCUCCACAGUCCGUUUUUUUGAGGGGGCACUCCAUCAUUGAGAAUUUUGCUCUGGCGGCUGAGUUUGUCCAGUGUGCUCACAAGAGAAAAUUGCCAGUCAUUGCUUUGAAGUUGGAUUUUCACAAUGCUUUUGAUAGUGUUAGUUGGGACUGCCUCAACCACGUUACGGAAGCACGAAGUUUUCCUCCACUCUGGAGACAGUGUGUUUCUAGCCUACUUUCUACUGGCCUCUCGAGAGUCAUGAUCAAUGGUGAGUUGCCCCCCCCCAUCCUAGCCAAGAGAGGCUUUCGGCAGGGCGAUUCUUUGUCCCCGUAUCUCUUCAUUUUGGUAGCAGACGUGCUGCAAAGGCUUUGUUGCUUGCAUUUCCAGGAGGGGUCCCUACAACACCCACUAGGCUCAGACAGUUUCUUUCCAGUGCUGCAAUAUGCGGACGAUACCCUGAUCAUUUUCAAGGGGGACUUUGAACAGGCCACGAUGAUCAAGAACAUUCUCACCGCUUUCUCGGCUUUCUCAGGUCUGACUAUAUAUUUCCAUAAGAGUACAUUAGUGCCAAUUUCUAUUGAUGCAACUGCGGCUGUUGACAUUGCUCAGCUUUUUGGCUGCCUUUGUCCUCAGUUCCAUGCACAUAUCUUGGGCUACCCUUGUGUCUAA
rnacentral:rRNA from 1 species